UCCGGUGGUGAUGGAGGUAGGGAAACACCCGUUCCCAUUUCGAACACGAAGGUUAAGCCUACCUACGCCGAUGGUACUAGGCUGGAGACGGCCUGGGAGAGUAGGUGACUGCCGGGU
rfam:Caloramator australicus RC3, WGS project CAKP01000000 data, contig: 135